rnacentral:rRNA from 1 species
UACGUAGGGGGCUAGCGUUGUCCGGAAUCAUUGGGCGUAAAGAGCGCGUAGGCGGCCCGGUAAGUCUGCUGUAAAAGUCAAAGGCUUAACCUUUGAAAGUCAGUGGAUACUGCCGGGCUAGAGUCCGGAAGAGGCGAGUGGAACUCCUGGUGUAGCGGUGGAAUGCGCAGAUAUCAGGAAGAACACCAACGGCGAAGGCAGCUCGCUGGGACGGUACUGACGCUGAGACGCGAAAGCGUGGGGAGCGAACAGG